ACGCACGCUGGCGGCGUGCUUCACCCCUGCAAGUCGCACGGAAAGGCCCUGCUUUUGUGGGGUGCUCGAGUGGCGAACGGGUGAGUAACACGUGAGUAACCUGCCCUUGACUUUGGGAUAACUUCAGGAAACUGGGGCUAAUACCGGAUAGGAGCUCCUGCUGCAUGGUGGGGGUUGGAAAGUUUCGGCGGUUGGGGAUGGACUCGCGGCUUAUCAGCUUGUUGGUGGGGUAGUGGCUUACCAAGGCUUUGACGGGUAGCCGGCCUGAGAGGGUGACCGGCCACAUUGGGACUGAGAUACGGCCCAGACUCCUACGGGAGGCAGCAGUGGGGAAUAUUGCACAAUGGGCGGAAGCCUGAUGCAGCAACGCCGCGUGCGGGAUGACGGCCUUCGGGUUGUAAACCGCUUUCGCCUGUGACGAAGCGUGAGUGGCGGUAAUGGGUAAAGAAGCACCGGCUAACUACGUG
rnacentral:rRNA from 1 species